GAUGAACGCUGGCGGCGUGCUUAACACAUGCAAGUCGAACGGGAAACCUUUUAUUGAAGCUUCGGCAGAUUUAGCUGGUUUCUAGUGGCGGACGGGUGAGUAACGCGUGGGUAACCUGCCCUAUACAGGGGGAUAACAACCAGAAAUGGUUGCUAAUACCGCAUAAGCGCACAGGGCCGCAUGGUCCGGUGUGAAAAACUCCGGUGGUAUAGGAUGGACCCGCGUUGGAUUAGCCAGUUGGCAGGGUAACGGCCUACCAAAGCGACGAUCCAUAGCCGGCCUGGGAGGGUGAACGGCCAAAUUGGGACUGAGACACGGGCCAGGCCCCUACGGGAGGGAGGAGUGGGGAAAAAUGCACAAUGGGGGGAAACCCUGAUGCAGCGACGCCGCGUGAAGGAAGAAGUAUCUCGGUAUGUAAACUUCUAUCAGCAGGGAAGAUAGUGACGGUACCUGACGAAGAAGCCCCGGCUAACUACGUG
rnacentral:rRNA from 1 species